GACAGAGGUGCCAAGCGUUAGGCGGAAUCACUGGGCUUAAAGCGCGUGUAGGUGGCGGCCUAAGUACCUUGUGAAAUCCUGCGGCUCAACCGCAGAACUGCUUGGUAUACUGGGUCGCUUGAGCCAUCCAGGGGCAACUGGAACAAGCGGUGGAGCGGUGAAAUGCGUAGAUAUCGCUUGGAACGCCAAAGGUGAAAACAGGUUGCUGGGGAUGCGCUGACACUGAGACGCGAAAGCGUGGGGAUCAAACAGG
rnacentral:rRNA from 1 species